rnacentral:rRNA from 1 species
AGAGUUUGAUCAUGGCUCAGAACGAACGCUGGCGGCAGGCUUAACACAUGCAAGUCGAACGCACCGCAAGGUGAGUGGCAGACGGGUGAGUAACGCGUGGGAACCUUCCCUUUGGUACGGAAUAACUUCGGGAAACCGAAGCUAAUACCGUAUAAGUCCUUCGGGAGAAAGAUUUAUCGUCAAAGGAUGGGCCCGCGUUGGAUUAGCUAGUUGGUAGGGUAAAGGCCUACCAAGGCUACGAUCCAUAGCUGGUCUGAGAGGAUGAUCAGCCACACUGGGACUGAGACACGGCCCAGACUCCUACGGGAGGCAGCAGUGGGGAAUAUUGGACAAUGGGGGCAACCCUGAUCCAGCCAUGCCGCGUGAGUGAAGAAGGCCUUAGGGUUGUAAAGCUCUUUUGGCGGGGACGAUAAUGACGGUACCCGCAGAAUAAGCCCCGGCUAACUUCGUGCCAGCAGCCGCGGUAAUACGAAGGGGGCUAGCGUUGUUCGGAAUCACUGGGCGUAAAGCGCACGCAGGCGGAUUGAUAAGUCAGGGGUGAAAUCCCGGAGCUCAACUUCGGAAUUGCCUUUGAUACUGUCUAUCUUCGAGUUCGGGAGAGGUUGGCGGAAUUCCUAGUGUAGAGGUGAAAUUCGUAGAUAUUAGGAAGAACACCAGUGGCGAAGGCGGCCAACUGGCCCGAUACUGACGCUCAUGUGCGAAAGCGUGGGGAGCAAACAGGAUUAGAUACCCUAGUAGUCC